UAAGAAGAACAUGCAAACAAUCAUUAUAGAACCCUAUCAUUACAAAAACAUUCCUCAAGAAAAUAUCAAAUUAAAAGGUCAAAAUAACUCAAGAAAAAUCAAUAAACUUCACUAUAACAUCAAAUUAUCUAAGAGAAAUUAUUAUUGCACACGAUACAUAUUAAUGACAACAAAACAAUCACAAGAAAAUGUAAUGAUAUGCAUGAGCUUAGACUCUACUUCACAAUGUGGUAUCAUUCUAACUCUGAAGUACUUGGUUAGGAUACUUGAUAUUAUGCCACCAUCUCGUUGGACGGACAAUUCAAAUUAGCCAUGUCCUCAUAGAUCCCCUCAGCUCAACCCGACAUUUGGGGUGUUACCUCCAAGUCACCUAGGAAUUCCUCAUUCGAAUACCUCCAAGGUCUAACAAUCUUGCCUUAAGGUUCAACAGCAGACCGCCACAAUCAGGCUCAUUCAUUGUAGUUCCUCGGAAUCACUAGGCUUGUCAAGUCCUACCUAUAUGAUGACAAAAUAAUCUCCACUUCACAGAUUCUCAAUAUUUAUUUUCUCCCCUCGUUGGCCCAUGAUACUCCAUUAAGACAGUCAUCUCAAACACAAAUUGGAAUCACCAUUAUUUCAUCAAACAUGAGGUUACUUCAAUAUUUUCAUCACAAUUUAUAACAUCACUAUCAUUAAUCACACAUCAUCAUUAUCUCAUAAACUCAUCACAAAUUUAUAGCAUCACUAUCAUCAAUCAUAUACCUCAUCACAUAAACUUAUCACAAAUUUAUAACAUCACAAUUAUUAAUCAUACAUCAUCAUCAUCACAUAAAAUUAUCACAAUGUGUCCCUCUUUUAUUAUCACAACACAUAAACUUUUAUCUAAAUGAGUAUUGAAAUUUGGACGAUAACGGAGAAAGUUUUAUGAAACAAUUAUCGAUUGUCAGUGCCAAUUUUCUUCCUUUUCUCUCAAUUUGCAGCUGCCCUAUUUAUUUACGUAUGAUCUCUCUUUGUGGUAUAUUUCAUUCUUUCUCUUUUCAAUUAAAUUCUUUUUAUUAAUUAUUUAAUUAGUCUUGCAUAUGGGUUUAACCCAUAAAACACAUUUUACUUUUUAUUUAUUUAUUUUUCAAAAUAAAACAAACAAUUAUCAAAACUAUUUUUUU
rnacentral:lncRNA from 1 species